rnacentral:ncRNA from 1 species
GUAGUAGCAAAUAUUCGAAAAAGAAAUCCAAAGACCAAAGUGGAGAAGAGUUCCAUGCUGAUGAUGGUUGAGCAUGAGUCAGUUGGUUCUAUAAAGUGGGCAAAAAAUUCCAUAAAAUGCGCCGGAUGCAUCAGGUGAAAAGAUAUGACAUGAUCAUUCAAAGAAUGUGGACGGCCCUACAUCAAACAAGGAUUGGGUAAAUAUUCUCAAACCCGUACUUUGGGAAUGCCCAUCCAACAGUGGGGAUGAGGUUCACACAUAGCUGGUCCAUUGUCAAAGUGGAUGGCUAGGUGAAGAAGCGGCAAUGCAUGAGAGCCAGAGAGAACUUUUCCCUGAAUCUUGGGAAAAGCUCUCUCUUCUUGACAAAAGAUUGUAUCCAUAGAAUAGGCUUGUCCAGAGAUAUGGGUAUAAUGCCUGUAGAGUGCCACAUCUUGGGUAGCAUCCUAUGGGCUCUUGGCAGCCCUGAAAAAGCCGGGUCUGUUAUGAUUUGCAACACUUGACUUGGUUCGCAUCCAUAUCCAGAGUGGGUCUUCAAGAUGUACAACCCCUUGUC